rnacentral:rRNA from 1 species
UACAGAGGAUGCAAGCGUUAUCCGGAAUGAUUGGGCGUAAAGCGUCUGUAGGUGGCUUUUUAAGUCCGCCGUCAAAUCCCAGGGCUCAACUCUGGACAGGCGGUGGAAACUACCAAGCUGGAGUACGGUAGGGGCAGAGGGAAUUUCCGGUGGAGCGGUGAAAUGCGUAGAUAUUGCUCGGAAGGCCAACGGCGAAGGCAGGUUACUGGUGCGCAACUGACACUGAGGCACGAAAGCGUGGGGAGCAAACAGG